AAACUUCACUCCCAGCCCUUGCCUCUUGCUAUUCACUGGAGAUCUUUGUCUCCAGUGAAUAGCAAGAGGCCAAGGCCUGGGAACGAGCUUGCAACAAUGUCUCCAGAAGAGGGGGGCAAGGGUAUUUGCGUGACUCGUGAUUAGCAAUUAUUCGUGUUUCGUGAUUUAAAGAAAUACCAUUCCGUGAAUCGUGAUUAAUAUGCGCGCCGUGAAUCGUGAAGAGCUAAAAGGCUAGCUAGGUUCUUGAAUUUGCCAAUAUUUUACCCUAACUUGUGAAUGUUUACGUUUAAAACUCGGC